rnacentral:rRNA from 1 species
GACGAACCGUGCGAACGUUGUUCGGAUUCACUGGGCUUAAAGGGCGCGUAGGCGGCUUGCCAAGUCAGGGGUGAAAUCUUUCGGCUCAACCGGAAAACGGCCCCUGAUACUGGCGGGCUGGAGGAGGGUAGGGGCAGAUGGAACUUCCGGUGGAGCGGUGAAAUGCGUAGAUAUCGGAAGGAACGCCGGUGGCGAAAGCGAUCUGCUGGACCCUUUCUGACGCUGAUGCGCGAAAGCCAGGGGAGCAAACGGG